AACGAACGCUGGCGGCGUGGAUAAGACAUGCAAGUCGAGCGCUAAUUUCACUGUAGCAAUACAGUGGAGUUGGAGCGGCGCAAGGGUGCGUAACACGUGGGUAAUUUGCCAUAGAGUUGGGGAUAACUCGCUGAAAGGCGAGCUAAUACCGAAUGUGAAGUUUGGGUGGCAUCACCUGACCUUUAAAGCUGGGGACCGCAAGGCCUGGCGCUCUAUGAUAAGCCCGCGGCCUAUCAGCUAGUUGGUGAGGUAACGGCUCACCAAGGCUAAGACGGGUAGCUGGUCUGAGAGGACGACCAGCCACACUGGAACUG
rnacentral:rRNA from 1 species